AGGACUUGUUUUUUUAGUCUUUCUCUCGCCAAAGUCAUUGUUCACCUCGUUGACCUGCUUUUCUGCCUCCUCCCUUGAUCCUUAAAGAGAUUCCGGUGGCUUAAUCAGAUCCAACUCUAGUGCCAGUUCGUCGGCCGGUGAAACUCAACCCUUUCCACAGGAUAUGGAGCUAACUAUCUGGUUAUUUCACCCCAAUCAGUGAGUUCUUUAGGUGAUUUUUUUUUUGUUAAACUAAUUAGGAUUGGCUAAUAUUAUUUCUUGGUUGCAGCCAGAUCUUGUUGUUUUCAUGAGGUAAUACCUAGCUACCCAAGUUCCUAGUUGCUUGCUAUAGAUGAUUAAGACACUAUAUUCUGGGUUUUUGUCAUAUCCUUGCUCCAAGGCCUGAAGCACCCACCUAUUCUCUAUCAGAAUAGCUUCUUGUGCUCUUCUUCUCAUAUUCUCAUCCCCAAAGUUUAACCUUGCCAAAUUAAAAUUAUCCUUUUUUGUAGAAAGGACCAAAUUAAAAUUAUCUAGUAGGAUCAACUAAUUAAUUUGACUAAUCAAUUCUAAGUAGAAUUUUGCUAAAUGUUUGAAUUUCAAUAGUUUCUCUUUUAUCUUUUUCUAAAUAAAUUAAUUUCUUUCUGAGCUUAUAAAAUUAAAUUUUAAUCUCUUAUUAAUGAUCAGUUCGAUUUUUGCUUUGUUUUCCAAUUUGAGUCAUUUCCUAGUUCUCAUUGAGGUAAAAAUAAUUUUUUCCAUAAGCACAAGGCAAAUAUGAAAUUAGUGGAUUUGUAUAUAUAUUGUAUGCUUUUGUUGUUUGUCUUUACUAGUACCUUUGUUUUUGACCAAAUUUUAAAGUAUUUUUUUAAGAUUAAAGAUUCUGUAAUAUUUGUUUGAUUAAUACCUUUUUGUUACUUAAUUUUUCAUUAUUUACAUUGUGGGUUUUCAAAAUUUUCUAUAAAACAGAAGGGAAAGGUAGUAGGAAACAAAAUCAUAACCUAAACAAUAUUUGACACUUGAAACAAGCAAGAAACCAAAAUUUACUUGGCUAGCUGUGGGCUGUUUUGAUUAUAAUGUCAUGUUUCUAAAUUUCUCUCUUAUUUCUUGGCUCUCCAUUUUGGACCCAUUGAAUAACUUGUCAAGACUUCGUUGAAUGUGCAUCUAAUUUGUAGAAGAUAGGGAUUAAUUCUUCUAUUUUUCAUUAAUUAGUUGUGGUGAAAGCCGCUUUUAUUUUUAUUUUGUUUACUAAGUCAUAACAUUUUAUUAUAGAUUGGCAUUUCACAAAUUUACACGAAAAAAACUUCUAGUGAAAGAGAAGAAUCAAGAAGUUAAAGCUGACAACAAAUUCAUGCCUACCAUAUCCAAUGAACAAAUAUGUUUGGGAGAGAAAUAAAAAAGGCAAGUAACAGGCCCAAUGGACUAAGCAAAGCUAGCAAUCUUUUUAGUUUAUUUAAUAUUCAACUCCAUCGGGCGAUGGGCGUACGUGAACCCCGAAAAGACCCUCGCCCCUCGCGAGUCACCCACACGAUUUGUGUAAACAUCGCCAGUUUGACUCUCUGUGGACGGAAGGAUGGCACGCUCGCAGGUGCUGGGGGAUCCAAUCCGCAGCAAGUACGUAGUUACUCAUCAUUGGAAGCAAAGUAAAAACAGAAAAGAAGAAGAUUCUGAUGUUCUCCUUAACACCCGGGGCUUGUGGCAGGACGGAUGCAUCAUCCUUAUCCGAAACUCGACAUGCGCUUCCAUAUGUUGGUUGUCUUGCUCUACUUCGAGACUGGAACAUAUAUAUUUAGUUGAUGAAUCUUAUUUAAUAUUGGUGGA
rnacentral:lncRNA from 1 species